CCUACGGGUGGCAGCAGUGAGGAAUAUUGGUCAAUGGGCGGAAGCCUGAACCAGCCAAGUAGCGUGCAGGAUGACGGCCCUACGGGUUGUAAACUGCUUUUAUACGGGAAUAACGCGCCUUACGUGUAGGGCUUUGCAUGUACCGGAUGAAAAAGGACCGGCUAAUUCCGUGCCAGCAGCCGCGGUAAUACGGAGGGUCCGGGCGUUAUCCGGAUUUAUUGGGGUUAAAGGGUGCGGAGGCCGGAGGUCAAGCGUGCUGUGAAAUGUGCGGGCUCAACCCGGGCCUUGCAGCGCGAACUGGGGUGCUUGAGUGCGCGGAAAGCAGGCGGAAUGCGUGGUGUAGCGGUGAAAUGCUUAGAUAUGACGAAGAACCCCGAUUGCGAAGGCAGCGUGCUGGAGCGGAACUGACGCUGAUGCUCGAAAGCGCGGGUAUCGAACAGGAUUAGAUACCCGAGUAGUC
rnacentral:rRNA from 1 species